AAUUUAAAAUCAUUUAUAGAUAGAAAUCAAUCUGACUUACGUCGAUUUGAACUCGAAUCAUGUAAGAUUUUAAAAGUCGAACAGACUUAAUUAAACUUCUGCAUUUAAAA